rnacentral:rRNA from 1 species
GAUGAACGCUGGCGGCGUGCCUAAUACAUGCAAGUCGAGCGAACGGACGAGAAGCUUGCUUCUCUGAUGUUAGCGGCGGACGGGUGAGUAACACGUGGAUAACCUACCUAUAAGACUGGGAUAACUUCGGGAAACCGGAGCUAAUACCGGAUAAUAUUUUGAACCGCAUGGUUCAAAAGUGAAAGACGGUCUUGCUGUCACUUAUAGAUGGAACCGCGCUGCAUUAGCUAGUUGGUAAGGUAACGGCUUACCAAGGCAACGAUGCAUAGCCGACCUGAGAGGGUGAUCGGCCACACUGGAACUGAGACACGGUCCAGACUCCUACGGGAGGCAGCAGUAGGGAAUCUUCCGCAAAGGGCGAAAGCCUGACGGAGCAACGCCGCGUGAGUGAUGAAGGUCUUCGGAUCGUAAAACUCUGUUAUUAGGGAAGAACAUAUGUGUAAGUAACUGUGCACAUCUUGACGGUACCUAAUCAGAAAGCCACGGCUAACUACGUG